AGUCAUAUGCUUGUCUUUAAGACUAAGCCAUGCAAGUCUAAGUAUAAGCUUUUAUACAGUAAAACUGCAGAUGGCUCAUUAAAACAGUUUUUGUUUAUUUGAUGUACAAAACCACAUGGAUACCUGUGGGAAUUCCAGAGCUAAUACAUGCAAGAAGACCCAACGCAUGGAGGGUUGUAUUUGUUAGAUUAAACGCCAAUGCCGUUCGCGGCUUCGGUGAAUCAUAGCAACUUUUCGAACCGUAUGCUCUCGUAGCGACGGUAGUUCAUUCAAAUUUCUGCCCUAUCAGCUUUCGAUGGUAGGAUAUGGGCCUACCAUGGCUUUAACGGGUGACGGAGAAUUAGGGUUCGGUUCCGGAGAGGGAGCCUGAGAAACGGCUACCACAUCCAAGGAAGGCAGCAGGCGCGCAAAUUACUCAAUCCCAAUUCGGGGAAGUAGUGACAAGAAAUAACAAUAGACGGGCUUAUUGGUUUGUCUAAUUGGAAUGAGAGCAAUCUAAAGAAAUCAACGAGGAUCCAU
rnacentral:rRNA from 1 species